rnacentral:rRNA from 1 species
UAAGUAAAGAUAAUAAGGGCGUACGGUGGAUGCCUUGGCGAUAUCAGCCGAAGAAGGACGCGGUAAGCUGCGAAAAGCUACGGAGAGGUGCAAGCAACCUGUGACCCGUAGAUAUCCGAAUGGGGGAACCCGGCAGUGGUUAUACACUGUCACCCAUAGCAUAGACUAUGAGGAGGGCACCCGGGGAACUGAAACAUCUAAUUACCCGGAGGAACAGUAAUCAAACGAGAUUUUCUUAGUAGCGGCGAGCGAACGGGAAAG